UACAGAGGGUGCGAGCGUUAAUCGGAAUUACUGGGCGUAAAGCGCGCGUAGGCGGUUUUGUAAGUCGGGUGUGAAAUCCCCAAGCUUAACUUGGGAACUGCAUUCGAGACUGCAUAGCUAGAGUAUGGGAGAGGGAAGUGGAAUUUCAGGUGUAGCGGUGAAAUGCGUAGAUAUCUGAAGGAACAUCAGUGGCGAAAGCGGGUCUCUGGACAGUUCCUGACGCUGAGGCACGAAGGCCAGGGGAGCAAACGGG
rnacentral:rRNA from 1 species